rnacentral:rRNA from 1 species
GACAGAGGGUGCAAACGUUGUUCGGAAUUACUGGGCGUAAAGCGCGUGUAGGCGGCCAUGCAAGUCGGAUGUGAAAGCCCUCGGCUCAACCGGGGAAGUGCACCCGAAACUGCAAGGCUAGAGUUCCGGAGAGGAUAGUGGAAUUCUCGGUGUAGAGGUGAAAUUCGUAGAUAUCGAGAGGAACACCGGUGGCGAAGGCGGCUAUCUGGACGGUGACUGACGCUGAGACGCGAAAGCGUGGGGAG